GAUGCUUACUAGGGUAGGGGGUGGAGGUACCUGGCCUUUUGGGGAGUAUGACCUGGCACAGAGCAGCUCAGCCUCCAAGACCCAGGCAGGGGGCCAUGAGUGUGUGGAUAAUACUCUUUCUAGAAAACUUCUGGUACACUCAUUUAGAAUUGGGCAGUGGUGAGGCAGGCCAGCUGUUUCCCAUUAACUGCCGUCGCCUUCUCUCUCUUCUUCUCACCAGUUGGCCCCCACAAGGAAUUUGCUGUGACCAUGAGACCUACAGAAGCCAGCGAGAGGUGCCACCUGCGGGGGUCCUAUACCCUCCGGGCUGGGGAGAGUGCCCUGGAGCUGUGGGGUGGGCCCGAGCCAGGGACCCAGCUGUACGACUGGCCCUACAGGUUUCUGCGGCGCUUUGGGCGGGACAAGGUAACCUUUUCCUUUGAGGCAGGCCGUCGCUGCAUCUCUGGAGAGGGCAACUUUGAGUUUGAAACCCGGCAAGGCAAUGAGAUCUUCUUGGCCCUGGA
rnacentral:sRNA from 1 species